ACUGCUCAGUAACACGUAGUCAACAUGCCCAGGGGACGUGGAUAACCUCGGGAAACUGAGGAUAAACCACGAUAAGUCACUACUUCUGGAAUGGGUAAUGACUCAAAUCUACAUGGCCCCUGGAUUGGACUGCGGCCGAUCAGGCUGUUGGUGAGGUAAUGGCCCACCAAACCUGUAACCGGUACGGGCUCUGAGAGGAGGAGCCCGGAGAUGGGCACUGAGACAAGGGCCCAGGCCCUAUGGGGCGCAGCAGGCGCGAAACCUCUGCAAUAGGCGAAAGCCUGACAGGGUUACUCUGAGUGAUUUCCGUUAAGGAGAUCUUUUGGCACCUCUAAAAAUGGUGCAGAAUAAGGGGUGGGCAAGUCUGGUGUCAGCCGCCGCGGUAAUACCAGCACCCCGAGUGGUCGGGACGUUUAUUGGGCCUAAAGCAUCCGUAGCCGGUUCUACAAGUCUUCCGUUAAAUCCACCUGCUUAACAGAUGGGCUGCGGAAGGUACUAUAGAGCUAGGAGGCGGGAGAGGCAAGCGGUACUCGAUGGGUAGGGGUAAAAUCCGUUGAUCCAUUGAAGACCACCAGUGGCGAAGGCGGCUUGCCAGAACGCGCUCGACGGUGAGGGAUGAAAGCUGGGGGAGCAAACCGGAUUAGAUACCCGGGUAGUCCCAGCUGUAAACGAUGCAGACUCGGUGAUGAGUUGGCUUUAUGCCAACUCAGUGCCGCAGGGAAGCCGUUAAGUUUGCCGCCUGGGGAGUACGGUCGCAAGACUGAAACUUAAAGGAAUUGGCGGGGGAGCAC
rnacentral:rRNA from 1 species